CUAAUCAUAGGAUUAUUGAGUCAGUGAUCAAUAAUACUAGUAAGACUGGCACAUCUAAUGUUUACUCAAAAGAGAGGAUGAUUAAUCUCACAAUUAUUUAUGUGAAGAUACUAAUGUAAAGGUAUGGAAACUCAUUGGAGAAUAAGUUCACUGAAUUGAUCUAUAGGAAGAACAUCUAAUGGAGCCUUAUGAGUGAAGGAUGUUGCACAUUCGAGAAUAUAUGUGUAGAAAUCUGAAUGCGUAGUAGAAAAAAUUUUUGAUCUAAAUUAAACACUUUAAUCUAUCUAACAUGCAUUAAGUAGAUCUAAUCUAUGGGCAAACA
rnacentral:lncRNA from 1 species